GAACUGUUUUGCCGGUCGUCGUGGUAAUACUAUGAAAGUUUAGAUGCCAAUCACCAUAUAAAUUCAAAGAUGAAAAAGCCUGGAAGGAGGAGAGAUGACUAGAAACGAUUCGGUUGACCGUUUUAUGUGUGGAUUAAUUGUCGGAGUAGAGGACCUUGUGCAUUUCAGCCCAUACUCAUGUAUCUCCACCAUCAAAGGUUUCUGAAGGACCAGGAGAGGGAGGAGGUGGUCAGCCAACCCACCAAGACCAAACAGAAGCAAACCCUGCUGGAUAUGUUUGUGUGGAAGGGAGCUUGCGCCCAAGACCACUUCUACCAGGCUCUGAAAGAAGCAGAUCCUUUCCUGGUAAAGGACCUGGAAGAGAAGACAUCCUGACCAGAGCAGGCUGGUGUGUAAUUAAGGAUUCCGACCUCAACCGGAAUAGGACACCACUCUGUCCAGUACUCCAGUUAUGUUUGACAUGAUCUGUGCUUCCUUCUGGAUGAAGAACCUGUCGAUUUCUAAUGAGUGGGAUUUAUUUCAGAGACAGUUGACUGUAGACAUGUAUUCAGAGGGGUAAAGCGUUUUUCAAAAUAUACUGUUCAGAGAAGACAAUAUUCCUCACAUAACUUGCAAGUUAAUGAUGUCUUAGCCUACUCUAUGUAAAAUGUAUCUUUUAACUGUCUUAAAUAGCCUAUUCUGCUGCGUGAAACGAAAUUAUUUCUCAGUGUUCAAUAAAUCAUUAUAUUGUAUAUAUUUAACCGUUUAGGUAUGCCAUUUCCAAAAAAUAAAUUACAGUAAAUGUUGGUCAGUUUUGUCACUUUUAUAUUUUGUUGUAUUAUGUAUUUUCUUCCGUUGCCUAUUCUGCUGUGUGACACUGAAUUACUUUUUUUGUGAUUAAUAAAGCAUUAUAUAUUUACUUAAUGAACCAUUCAGGUAUGCAAAAAUUGUUAGCAAUAAUUUUUGCCUGUAAAUUUUGGUCAGGGAUUAUGGGUCAUGAACCCAUUUUGAAUACAUGGGUUGGGGUCAUUCUGAAUUGAAGCAGAGAGGAAGAAGCUAAGCGAGAGGCUCCUCUCCCAUCAAAGUCUAUUCAUGCAAGAAUACAGCAAUAAGCAGACCAAGUAGGGAUUUUUUGUAUAUAGGCCUAUGAGAGUGUCAGAUUUGGUCUGCAGAAAAUGGGAUUGCUAAUUUGCUAAGUGAGUCUUAUUUGAUCAAAUUUAAAUUUCA
rnacentral:lncRNA from 1 species